GCGUCAAUGGUCUAGUGGUUAGGAUUCAACCCUUCCAUGAUUGUAAGGUUGAGGGGGGGGUUCGAUUCCCUCUUGACGCA